rnacentral:tRNA from 1 species
GCCUGGGUGGCUCAGUCGGUUAAGCGACUGACUUCGGCUCAGGUCAUGAUCUCACAGUUCAUGGGUUCGAGCCCCGUGUUGGGCU